rnacentral:rRNA from 1 species
UACGGGGGGGGCAAGCGUUGUUCGGAAUUACUGGGCGUAAAGGGCUCGUAGGUGGCCAACUAAGUCAGACGUGAAAUCCCUCAGCUUAACUGGGGAACUGCGUCUGAUACUGGAUGGCUUGAGUUUGGGAGAGGGAUGCGGAAUUCCAGGUGUAGCGGUGAAAUGCGCAGAGAUCGGGAGGAACACCCGUAGCGAAGGCGGCACUCUGGGCCGGUACUGACGCUGAGGAGCGAAAGCGUGGGGAGCAAACAGG